AACAACGGAAUUUUGAAUGACGCUGUUGAAAAUGAGGCGGAAGAACAUCAACAUCGCAUAAUAAAACAAGCAUUGUCAAUUCUUGUAACUUCAACAGCGCAUUCUUGACAAUACGCUGUUGAACAUGUAACGUUAGCGCUGGCUUGAAUGAUUUAUUUUUAACAGCGCAUUUGAUAGAAAGCAUUGUUGAUGGGAAUAUAUGAAACAACACAUAUUUAAGGAAGCGUUGUAGAAGAUGACAUAGUAACCACACUUGCUUAAUUAUGCGCUGUUGAUUUUUUACGAUUUUUAAGCGUCCGAGAAAUUAAUGGUGGCGUAGUAAUGCGUCUCGUCGUUUGUUGAAAUAUUAAUGGUUGAGUGGUUAUAUGUUUCUUGGUUGUUGAAAUAUUAAUGGUUGAGUAGUUAUACAUCUCUUCGUUUGUUAAAAUAUUAAUGGUUGCUCAUCUAUAAAUAUUGUGGUUCACUCAAUGUUCUAAUUCAUCAUUUAGCUUAGAGCCUAAGAGUAUGUGUUCCUAUACGAGUAUGUUCAUGAAGAUAGGAGGAAGAAAACACAAAGUAGUAAAAAAAAGAGCAAUAUUUCAAAGAGUGAAAAAGAGAAAAAGCACACAGGUUUGUAUAGAGGAGUCGAGGAAAAAAUUGUGUUUAUGUUUCAGAAUCAUGUCAAGGAGGUUUUUAACAAGUUUUGAUUUCAGAAGGAAAGUGACUGUUAUACAAGAUUUGCGUGAGAUGAAACAAUUGAAAGUAAAUAAAAGGAAAAGGGGAAUGAAUUAUUUAGUUCAUUGAGCUCUUUCAAUUUUUAUUUAUCUCUUUUAAUUAUUUUCCUUCAUCAUUGACAGCAAUUCCUAAAGUUCAUUGAUUUCUCUCAUUCGAUUUUCAUGGGAAAAGACAUAGAUUUUAAAAGGAAAUCAAUGAACUGUUGUACAAGAUUUGUGUAGAGGAGUAGAGGAAAAAGUUAUGGACAAGAUUAUUUCCUCUUCUACCAAAUCAUUUAGUUUAUUAUAUUCGGAAGUAUCAUAUCAUUUAGUUCAUUAUAAUGUAUUUUGCCUCUCUGAAUGAAUAAUAAAACAAUUAUUUUGGAUGUUAAUUUCUACUUUUUGUUAAUUAUUUGGAUGUUUAUUCUCUUUAAUAUUUUUGCAUCGUUCCUUAUUAAUAAAC
rnacentral:lncRNA from 1 species